rnacentral:tmRNA from 1 species
GGGGAUGAUCGGUUUCGACAUCGGUCGCCGUCCCAGGGGAAGCGGGCCGAGGAUGCAGAGUUAUCUCGUUAACGCUCUCUGCAAACUUAUAGGUGCCGAUUCCAAGCGCACCGACUUCGCCCUCGCCGCCUGAGCGAGCCCGAAGUCUGUCAGCCUGAGCUAGUUCUCGACUCAGUGUCUGGCAUCAGCUAGAGAACUUGCUGCAACGUCUUGUCGAGGGGCGUUGUGGGACUCUCACUCGACUGGGCCUGUCGCGGAAUGUGUCAUUCCUUGCCGCGGGGCCGAGAAAAAUCCGCAGGAUGACUGCGCCCGGAGAAGCCCUGGAUCGCCGUCGAUGGACGGGGGUUCAAUUCCCCCCAUCUCCACCA